rnacentral:rRNA from 1 species
CCUACGGGGGGCUGCAGUCGAGAAUCAUUCACAAUGGGGGAAACCCUGAUGGUGCGACGCCGCGUGGGGGAAUGAAGGUCUUCGGAUUGUAAACCCCUGUCAUGUGGGAGCAAAUUAAAAAGAUAGUACCACAAGAGGAAGAGACGGCUAACUCUGUGCCAGCAGCCGCGGUAAUACAGAGGUCUCAAGCGUUGUUCGGAAUCACUGGGCGUAAAGCGUGCGUAGGCUGUUUCGUAAGUCGUGUGUGAAAGGCGCGGACUCAACCCGCGGAUGGCACAUGAUACUGCGAGACUAGAGUAAUGGAGGGGGAACCGGAAUUCUCGGUGUAGCAGUGAAAUGCGUAGAUAUCGAGAGGAACACUCGUGGCGAAGGCGGGUUCCUGGACAUUAACUGACGCUGAGGCACGAAGGCCAGGGGAGCGAAAGGGAUUAGAUACCCUUGUAGUC